UCUGGUGCCUUUUUUAGUUCAUUUGGUGAGGUCAUAUUUUCCUGGAUGUUCUUGGUGUCUGGGCAUUGAACAAUUAGCUAUUUAAUGUGGUCUUCACUCUCUGGACUUAUUUGCACCCAUCAUUAUGUUCCUCAACUUGUAUUGAAGUUAUGUUCCAACAAAACCAUCGUAAGUUGACAAUAUUGUAAGUUAUUUGGUUUUAUUGGGAUGUAACCGUAUCAUAAGUGAAGAAACAUCUGAAAGAAACAGAGAAGAAACAGAGAGAGACUUAAGGCAUUGGCUCAUACACUUGUAGAAGCUGGAGGAUAUUCUGGCAGGCUGGAGACUCACAAAUGAACCAAGGUUGCAGUUUGAGUCUGAAGGCAGUCUACUGGCAGAAUUCCUUCCUGAGGGAAGGUCAGUCU
rnacentral:lncRNA from 1 species